AGGGGCGUAAAAAGUGGAGACUUUGACCGAAUGAAUAGGGAUCAAUUGAUAGACAUUUUUCUUGAGGAAGAGAAUCCAGGAUGAACGCUUUUUUCAUUCGCUAUGCGCUGACUGGAUGCGUACUCGCGUGAUCAAUCGAUGGACGGGGGAAUUGCGUGAAUGAUGAGACCGGCCUAACCUAAAGUCAAGGCUCUUCCCUCUCUUGAUGGCGAAUCUUGAUUGACUGACACUAGGAACCGAUUCGGAGAAAGAAGAAGCAUGGCAUGAGAUAGGCGGCGGAUCAAUUUCCGAUAGCGAAUUACUUGACUCGAUGGAUGGAGGGAGAGCCCUCCAACUCAAGCACGAAAUCAAUGUUGAGUCAACAAUCAUCGAGAGGGGUACCACCAAGCGAGAUCGAGACCAGCCCCUUGUAUAGGUAUAGGGUGGAAAACCUG
rnacentral:lncRNA from 1 species